rnacentral:lncRNA from 1 species
AGGGGGUCGAGCUCAUCAGAAAGCCGACGUCAUCAGAUGGCUAACCUCAUCAAAAUGCCGACCUCUAACACAUGGCAAUAUCUGAAGACAUCAGCCUCAUACCAAUUUCUGACGUGCUCAAUUUGUAUUAGCGGAACAUCAGUUUUAGCCGAUCUAUAGGAGAAAUAUCAUCAUAUCAUAUCAACUGAUCUAAAGAUUUACCAUCACUGCUUUAAGCCAGA